GACGAACGCUGGCGGCGCGCCUAACACAUGCAAGUUGAACGAGCGAGAGAGAGCUUGCUUUCUCGAGCGAGUGGCGAACGGGUGAGUAACGCGUGAGGAACCUGCCUCAAAGAGGGGGACAACAGUUGGAAACGACUGCUAAUACCGCAUAAGCCCACAGGUCGGCGAUCGACCAGAGGGAAAAGGAGCAAUCCGCUUUGAGAUGGCCUCGCGUCCGAUUAGCUGGUUGGUGAGGUAACGGCCCACCAAGGCGACGAUCGGUAGCCGGACUGAGAGGUUGAACGGCCACAUUGGGACUGAGACACGGCCCAG
rnacentral:rRNA from 1 species